rnacentral:rRNA from 1 species
CACGUAGGCACCAAGCGUUGUCCGGAUUUAUUGGGCGUAAAGAGCUCGUAGGCGGUUCGGUAAGUCGGGUGUGAAACUCUGGGCUCAACCCAGAGCCGCCACCCGAUACUGCUGUGACUCGAGUGCGGUAGGGGAGCGGGGAAUUCCUGGUGUAGCGGUGAAAUGCGCAGAUAUCAGGAGGAACACCAGUGGCGAAGGCGCCGCUCUGGGCCGUGACUGACGCUGAGGAGCGAAAGCGUGGGUAGCAAACAGG